rnacentral:rRNA from 1 species
GUGAACCAGUACCGUGAGGGAAAGGCGAAAAGAACCCCUGCGAGGGGAGUGAAAAAGAACCUGAAACCGUGUACGUACAAGCAGUGGGAGCACAGAGCAAUCUGUGUGACUGCGUACCUUUUGUAUAAUGGGUCAGCGACUUAUAUUCUGUAGCAAGGUUAACCGAAUAGGGGAGCCGAAGGGAAACCGAGUCUUAACUGGGCGUUAAGUUGCAGGGUAUAGACCCGAAACCCGGUGAUCUAGCCAUGGGCAGGUUGAAGGUUGGGUAACACUAACUGGAGGACCGAACCGACUAAUGUUGAAAAAUUAGCGGAUGACUUGUGGCUGGGGGUGAAAGGCCAAUCAAACCGGGAGAUAGCUGGUUCUCCCCGAAAGCUAUUUAGGUAGCGCCUCGUGAAUUCAUCUCCGGGGGUAGAGCACUGUUUCGGCAAGGGGGUCAUCCCGACUUACCAACCCGAUGCAAACUGCGAAUACCGGAGAAUGUUAUCACGGGAGACACACGGCGGGUGCUAACGUCCGUCGUGAAGAGGGAAACAACCCAGACCGCCAGCUAAGGUCCCAAAGUCAUGGUUAAGUGGGAAACGAUGUGGGAAGGCCCAGACAGCCAGGAUGUUGGCUUAGAAGCAGCCAUCAUUUAAAGAAAGCGUAAUAGCUCACUGGUCGAGUCGGCCUGCGCGGAAGAUGUAACGGGGCUAAACCAUG